rnacentral:ncRNA from 1 species
CAAGGUUAUGUAGUGAUACAUAACUGCCUCCGCAGAAGUCAGCAGAGGCCAUAGUACUUUUUUUUAGAAGGAAGGGC